rnacentral:lncRNA from 12 species
AUGAGGGAGAAGAACCGCUUAGAACGUGGGACCGCGGUUUCCCUCAACCGGAACCGGAUUUCUGGGACAGAACGGCUUUCCCAUCCCUGGACGAGGUGUUCGGACGGGUUCCAGAUAUUAUAUGAUGGUGAGCACCAGGGAUGUGCCCUUGAUCCCUGUAGACAUGGUCCUGUUCUCAAGGGGCUCCUUCCUCACCCCCACAUCACCUCCAGUCGUCAUGUUGGGGCCAGCUUGUUGUUGAUUUGGGCCGGAUCCUGCCUCAGAGGCGACCCAGACGCUCAUAGCUUGACUGCGGCCAAGAAGCUGCUGGAACGUGGGAAGCAGAAAGCUCUGGAGCCUCUGAGCCUGAAGACUGGAUCCUCCUCGCUCUGCCCGGCACCAGGGGUGUGACCCAGACACAAGACCUCCAUCCUGCAGGGCUUCUGCUCCCUGACCUUCAGAGUAGGCACGGCCACCAUGCUCUUCACAGUUUCCUGGGGAUAAUGCUCAAUGCUUUAUAGGAAACCAGUUUUUAUAAACAGAAAAGUCUUAUACGUGUUCAUUAUUUUCUGAGUUUCCAAGAGGCAUUGAGGGUUGAUGUUCUGAUUUUUCUCUUUCUUUCUCUUUCUUUUCAAAAUUAUUAUUUGAAUAUUUGAAUUGUCACCCACACAUUUAACAAAUAUUUAUUGAGCCCCGCCUAUAUGCCAAGAGCUCAGCAGUGAACACAUGGAACAGGAGAGAGAAUAAAUAAGAGAAGUGAGUUACGUAUAGAUAAUGU